CAGGAGACAUGACAAAAAACUGUCCCAAAUUGUUUGUCAUGUCUCCUGUU
rnacentral:pre_miRNA from 1 species